rnacentral:rRNA from 1 species
UACGGAGGGUGCAAGCGUUAUCCGGAUUCACUGGGUUUAAAGGGUGCGUAGGAGGGCAGGUAAGUCAGUGGUGAAAUCUCCAAGCUUAACUUGGAAACUGCCGUUGAUACUGCAGGGCUUGAGUUCGGUUAAGGCGGGCGGAACUGGUGGUGUAGCGGUGAAAUGCAUAGAUACCACCAAGAACCCCGAUUGCGUAGGCAGCUCGCUGAGCCGAAACUGACGCUGAGGCACGAAAGCGUGGGGAGCGAACAGG